GACGAACGCUGGCGGCGUGCUUAACACAUGCAAGUCGAACGGAAAGGCCCUGCUUUUGUGGGGUGCUCGAGUGGCGAACGGGUGAGUAACACGUGAGUAACCUGCCCUUGACUUUGGGAUAACUUCAGGAAACUGGGGCUAAUACCGGGUAGGAGCUCCUGCUGCAUGGUGGGGGUUGGAAAGUUUCGGCGGUUGGGGAUGGACUCGCGGCUUAUCAGCUUGUUGGUGGGGUAGUGGCUUACCAAGGCUUUGACGGGUAGCCGGCCUGAGAGGGUGACCGGCCACAUUGGGACUGAGAUACGGCCCAGACUCCUACGGGAGGCAGCAGUGGGGAAUAUUGCACAAUGGGCGGAAGCCUGAUGCAGCAACGCCGCGUGCGGGAUGACGGCCUUCGGGUUGUAAACCGCUUUCGCCUGUGACAAAGCGUGAGUGACGGUAAUGGGUAAAGAAGCACCGGCUAACUACGUG
rnacentral:rRNA from 1 species